GUAAGGCAAAAGAGAGCUUGAUUGCAAGACAUACAGGUCGAGCAAGGAUGAAAAUCGGACUUAGUGAUCCGGUGGUUCUGCGUGGAAGGGCCAUCGCUCAACGGAUAAAAGCUACCCUGGGGAUAACAGGCUUAUCUCCCCCAAGAGUCCACAGCGACGGGGAGGUUUGGCACCUCGAUGUCGGCUCAUCACAUCCUGGGGCUGUAGUAGGUCCCAAGGGUUGGGCUGUUCGCCCAUUAAAGUGGUACGCGAGCUGGGUUCAGAACGUCGUGAGACAGUUCGGUCCCUAUCCG
rnacentral:rRNA from 1 species